ACGAACGCUGGCGGCGUGCUUAACACAUGCAAGUCGAACGGAAAGGCCCUGCUUUUGUGGGGUGCUCGAGUGGCGAACGGGGGAGUAACACGUGAGUAACCUGCCCUUGACUUUGGGAUAACUUCAGGAAACUGGGGCUAAUACCGCAUAGGAGCUCCUGCUGCAUGGUGGGGGUUGGAAAGUUUCGGCGGUUGGGGAUGGACUCGCGGCUUAUCAGCUUGUUGGUGGGGGAGUGGCUUACCAAGGCUUUGACGGGUAGCCGGCCUGGGAGGGUGACCGGCCACAUUGGGACUGAGAUACGGCCCAGACUCCUACGGGGGGCAGCAGUGGGGAAUAUUGCACAAUGGGCGGAAGCCUGAUGCAGCAACGCCGCGUGCGGGAUGACGGCCUUCGGGUUGUAAACCGCUUUCGCCUGUGACGAAGCGUGAGUGACGGUAAUGGGUAAAGAAGCACCGGCUAACUACGUG
rnacentral:rRNA from 1 species